CCUACGGGUGGCAGCAGUGGGGAAUAUUGGGCAAUGGGCGAAAGCCUGACCCAGCAACGCCGCGUGAAGGAAGAAGGCUUUCGGGUUGUAAACUUCUUUUGACAGGGAAGAGCAGAAGACGGUACCUGUCGAAUAAGCCACGGCCAACUUCGUGCCAGCAGCCGCGGUAAUUCGUAGGUGGCAAGCGUUGUCCGGAUUUACUGGGGGUAAAGGGGGUGUAGCCGGGUUGACAAGUCAGAUGUGAAAUCCGGGGGCUCAACCCCCGAACUGCCUUUGAAACUGUUGGUCUUGAGUGUCGGAGAGGCAGGCGGAAUUCCUAGUGUAGCGGUGAAAUGCGUAGAUAUUAGGAGGAACACCAGUGGCGAAGGCGGCCUGCUGGACGACAACUGACGGUGAGGCACGAAAGCGUGGGGAGCAAACAGGAUUAGAUACCCCUGUAGUC
rnacentral:rRNA from 1 species